ACUUUUGAGAACUUUAAAAGAUGCCUACCACCAUUUGUCUCUCAUGAAGAUGUGAACUGUGACUGGAAACAGCUCAGUCUCUCACAGCUAUGGAAUCCCUGAGGCACCAUGUACGAAUUCCAAGGCUAUUAUGCAUUGAGGAAACCCAGUUCACAAUGGGAAGAAGAAAGGAGGAGACGUUUCUACUUUCCCUAUGUUUAGGGUUGGCUUUUCCCACUUAAAUCAGAAGAAACCAUUUUUCCAC